rnacentral:rRNA from 1 species
UACGUAGGGUGCAGGCGUUAAUCGGAAUUACUGGGCGUAAAGCGUGCGCAGGCGGUCUGCUAAGAGAGAUGUGAAAUCCCCGGGCUUAACCUGGGAACUGCGUUUGAAACUGGAAGGCUUGAGUGUGGCAGAGGGGGGUGGAAUUCCACGUGUAGCAGUGAAAUGCGUAGAGAUGUGGAGGAACACCGAUGGCGAAGGCAGCCCCCUGGGCUAACACUGACGCUCAUGCACGAAAGCGUGGGGAGCAAACAGG